rnacentral:rRNA from 1 species
GGGUUGUGAGGUUAAGCGACUAAGCGUACACGGUGGAUGCCCUGGCAGUCAGAGGCGAUGAAGGACGUGCUAAUCUGCGAUAAGCGUCGGUAAGGUGAUAUGAACCGUUAUAACCGGCGAUUUCCGAAUGGGGAAACCCAGUGUGUUUCGACACACUAUCAUUAACUGAAUCCAUAGGUUAAUGAGGCGAACCGGGGGAACUGAAACAUCUAAGUACCCCGAGGAAAAGAAAUCAACCGAGAUUCCCCCAGUAGCGGCGAGCGAACGGGGAGCAGCCCAGAGCCUGAAUCAGUGUGUGUGUUAGUGGAAGCGUCUGGAAAGGCGCGCGAUACAGGGUGACAGCCCCGUACACAAAAAUGCACAUGCUGUGAGCUCGAUGAGUAGGGCGGGACACGUGGUAUCCUGUCUGAAUAUGGGGGGACCAUCCUCCAAGGCUAAAUACUCCUGACUGACCGAUAGUGAACCAGUACCGUGAGGGAAAGGCGAAAAGAACCCCGGCGAGGGGAGUGAAAAAGAACCUGAAACCGUGUACGUACAAGCAGUGGGAGCACGCUUAGGCGUGUGACUGCGUACCUUUUGUAUAAUGGGUCAGCGACUUAUAUUCUGUAGCAAGGUUAACCGAAUAGGGGAGCCGAAGGGAAACCGAGUCUUAACUGGGCGUUAAGUUGCAGGGUAUAGACCCGAAACCCGGUGAUCUAGCCAUGGGCAGGUUGAAGGUUGGGUAACACUAACUGGAGGACCGAACCGACUAAUGUUGAAAAAUUAGCGGAUGACUUGUGGCUGGGGGUGAAAGGCCAAUCAAACCGGGAGAUAGCUGGUUCUCCCCGAAAGCUAUUUAGGUAGCGCCUCGUGAAUUCAUCUCCGGGGGUAGAGCACUGUUUCGGCAAGGGGGUCAUCCCGACUUACCAACCCGAUGCAAACUGCGAAUACCGGAGAAUGUUAUCACGGGAGACACACGGCGGGUGCUAACGUCCGUCGUGAAGAGGGAAACAACCCAGACCGCCAGCUAAGGUCCCAAAGUCAUGGUUAAGUGGGAAACGAUGUGGGAAGGCCCAGACAGCCAGGAUGUUGGCUUAGAAGCAGCCAUCAUUUAAAGAAAGCGUAAUAGCUCACUGGUCGAGUCGGCCUGCGCGGAAGAUGUAACGGGGCUAAACCAUGCACCGAAGCUGCGGCAGCGACACUAUGUGUUGUUGGGUAGGGGAGCGUUCUGUAAGCCUGUGAAGGUGUACUGUGAGGUAUGCUGGAGGUAUCAGAAGUGCGAAUGCUGACAUAAGUAACGAUAAAGCGGGUGAAAAGCCCGCUCGCCGGAAGACCAAGGGUUCCUGUCCAACGUUAAUCGGGGCAGGGUGAGUCGACCCCUAAGGCGAGGCCGAAAGGCGUAGUCGAUGGGAAACAGGUUAAUAUUCCUGUACUUGGUGUUACUGCGAAGGGGGGACGGAGAAGGCUAUGUUGGCCGGGCGACGGUUGUCCCGGUUUAAGCGUGUAGGCUGGUUUUCCAGGCAAAUCCGGAAAAUCAAGGCUGAGGCGUGAUGACGAGGCACUACGGUGCUGAAGCAACAAAUGCCCUGCUUCCAGGAAAAGCCUCUAAGCAUCAGGUAACAUCAAAUCGUACCCCAAACCGACACAGGUGGUCAGGUAGAGAAUACCAAGGCGCUUGAGAGAACUCGGGUGAAGGAACUAGGCAAAAUGGUGCCGUAACUUCGGGAGAAGGCACGCUGAUAUGUAGGUGAAGUCCCUCGCGGAUGGAGCUGAAAUCAGUCGAAGAUACCAGCUGGCUGCAACUGUUUAUUAAAAACACAGCACUGUGCAAACACGAAAGUGGACGUAUACGGUGUGACGCCUGCCCGGUGCCGGAAGGUUAAUUGAUGGGGUCAGCGCAAGCGAAGCUCUUGAUCGAAGCCCCGGUAAACGGCGGCCGUAACUAUAACGGUCCUAAGGUAGCGAAAUUCCUUGUCGGGUAAGUUCCGACCUGCACGAAUGGCGUAAUGAUGGCCAGGCUGUCUCCACCCGAGACUCAGUGAAAUUGAACUCGCUGUGAAGAUGCAGUGUACCCGCGGCAAGACGGAAAGACCCCGUGAACCUUUACUAUAGCUUGACACUGAACAUUGAGCCUUGAUGUGUAGGAUAGGUGGGAGGCUUUGAAGUGUGGACGCCAGUCUGCAUGGAGCCGACCUUGAAAUACCACCCUUUAAUGUUUGAUGUUCUAACGUGGACCCGUAAUCCGGGUUGCGGACAGUGUCUGGUGGGUAGUUUGACUGGGGCGGUCUCCUCCUAAAGAGUAACGGAGGAGCACGAAGGUUGGCUAAUCCUGGUCGGACAUCAGGAGGUUAGUGCAAUGGCAUAAGCCAGCUUGACUGCGAGCGUGACGGCGCGAGCAGGUGCGAAAGCAGGUCAUAGUGAUCCGGUGGUUCUGAAUGGAAGGGCCAUCGCUCAACGGAUAAAAGGUACUCCGGGGAUAACAGGCUGAUACCGCCCAAGAGUUCAUAUCGACGGCGGUGUUUGGCACCUCGAUGUCGGCUCAUCACAUCCUGGGGCUGAAGUAGGUCCCAAGGGUAUGGCUGUUCGCCAUUUAAAGUGGUACGCGAGCUGGGUUUAGAACGUCGUGAGACAGUUCGGUCCCUAUCUGCCGUGGGCGCUGGAGAA